UGCGCGCUGCCUCCGCUCCGCCCGGCGCCCGGCUCCCUCCCCGCAGGGGCACGCAUAGCUGUGUGCUGGACAAAUAAAUGGCCGUCUGAGCUCGAGCUUCUCUCCCCUGCACGGGCCGGGCGAGUGGGCGGCUGCUUCUCUUUCUGGACUCUGCGCCCCGGAGGCCAGUGUGCUGCCCAUGCCCGUCUGUGUCCUGGUAUGCAGCAGGUGCUCGGUGGAGCCCCUGCCCCCCGCCCACCCCUGUGCGUCCACCACCUCCUGGUGCGGCCGGGCAGUUGCCCCAGCACGUGUGAUCCUCUGCUGUCUCCGGCUGGAAAUUCUUAACGGGGCCCAGCGUUUUCCUUUUGCCCUCGGCCACACCAACCGUGUAGCGGUUCUGACAACGUGGACACUACCGAGCCCUCGCCUGUGCCAGGCCAUGGGCUAGGCCAGCCGGCUGCAUGAACCGUCUCGAGGAAUCUUCCCAAAGGCUCUGUGAGAGGCCCGCUCCCAUCAGCUUUCUGCAGGUGGGGAAACUGAGGCUCAGAGAGCUCCUGGCUUGGGAGCCCUUGCUGAACCACCACAUGACACCCACUGUGAAAAUCGAAUCCGGUCCAAGCUCCUUUCUUUUACCACCGAGGUGCAGACCGGUUCCGGCAGCUCAGCAGACACGGCCCGGGGGACGCAGAGCCAGGUUCUGGGCCAUCCCCACGGCCGGGAGCCAGAGGCUCCAUCCUGGUGCUGCCGCCUGGCCGGACGGCUGAAUUCAUUGCACCACUUUUCCUUCAGCCACAUUUCCUCUCCCCGGGGAACUGUCUCAACGAGAGGUUCCGGGUGAGGGAUGACCUGAGAAAGAGGUGCUGGCAUCUUGCCGACACAGCGCCUGGGAGCCUCAGUGAGGAAGGAGCAAGGAGGGACCGUCGCCUGGAAUCCUAACUUGUGGAGGCGUUUAUUCUGACCCGUCAGUUUGGAAGGAGAGGUUCCUGGCCCCCAGGGCUCCGGGGAGAGUUGCUGCGGGACUGCACCUGCUGCACCUCGGCCUCACUGGCUGGCUUCUUGCUCCAGGAAAUGCAGCCCAUUCCUCUGGUCCCUCCGUUCUUCCUACCCCCCCCCCCCCCCCCCCCCCCCCCCCCCCCCCCCCCGCCUCAGUGCCUGCAACCCCAGCCCCGGAAGGGUUUCCUCCAUGGGGGGUGCUCUGAGGACGCUCAGGGGAAUGGAAGGCAGGCAAUGGGGGGUGGGGGCAGAGACUGUCACUGCCUUCCCAAGCUGCAGCCUCUCUCGUCCCCCCUUCCUGCUCGGAAGAUGCUUCCAGCGUGCACCUGCCAGGAACUGUUGCAGAUGCCGUCUGAGAAACCUUCAAAGGAGCGGAACAAAACGUUUAUCCCUGAGGAAACGUCGACAGUUAACUGUUACCUGGGAGAAUGCACAGUCUGGCAGGCAGAGCAACAGGUGCACACGAGAGCUGCUCUACAGGCCGAUGAAGUUAGAAAACAAGUAUAAAAUGAUAAAACCCAGUGUUGGCAGGGAUGUGGGGAAAAUGACACAUCAGCUUCGCUGUAAACAGAUUCAGAUGCUGAAGAUCACUGUGUCUGUGUGAAACAAGGGCUGUGACACUGCACGUACCCUCCAACCCAGCGUUUCAUCUUUUGGCAAAACAUUUUUGUCCUCAGGGACAGAAACAUGCAUAGUGGAGUUAUUUGAAAGUGGGAGAUGGAAAAACCAAAAAUCGAAAAACUCAGAUGCCCCGUGCUAACAUUUGUGGAGCGCUCACACUGUUUGAAAUGCUGAACGUGAUUACUCUUUAAUCCUUACAGCCGCUCUGCAUCUGUGUGUUUAUGAGGCCCUGAGUCAGCCCUUCCCCCGAGGUCCCUCAGGAGGUGAGCGGCAGGGCUGAGGGCUGAACCCAGGCGGCACCACCUCAAACUCGAUGGCAGUGGGGGGUCUCCGCCCCACGCAGUUGCUCGGUAACAUGAAGGCAGAAUUGCCCACCAGAGAGAGGGUGACCUGCAGCUCCGUGGGGUGUGCGGUCACCAGGGUGCGGCCUGGAGACAAAAGGGCUCCUUUGUGCUUCUGCCUGGCGGUAAACACCAGCCACUGCCCGGCAGGCAUGCCCCAGCCUGCGGCUCUGGAAUGUGGGCGAGCCACCAUCCUGACGACCGGCCACUGGUGGCUGGUCUCGAGGUGGCCAGGCCCGGCCUGCAGACCCAGCCACCCGCGCUCUGUGUGUGCCCGAGGAAGGAGCCCAGCCCUUCACACCGCCUCGAUGGACGCUGAGCAGUUGAAGUGAUGCCCAGAACCCCAGUGUCCGCUCUGGGCAGAAGCACCGGUGGCCUCGAGGGUGGAAGUGCUGGAAGGAUGGCGACAGCUCCAGGCAGCUGCGGCUUCAAGGAGGCUGAGACUGUGGAGAUGCUCUGCCUCCUGAGAAGGGGACGGGAGGGGACACAUCCUGGUGGCACGUCCGAGGCUGGUUUUAGCCUGGUGCCUGCGUCUUUACAGCCGGUCCCCCAGCUGCUCAGCCCCUGCUUAGCAGAGCGAGGGCAGGGCUCCGGCUCCGAGCCGCGGGCAGGCAGCGGCGUUUACUGCGUGACUUAUCUCCCACGUGCUCGUUUUCGGAGUCGUCUUCUCUUGGUGGCAGUGACACUCCUUUUCCAUUUACAUGGAUCACAGAGAAUUUUCUUUUAAAAUAAACUUAAGUAAAAAAAAAUAAGGUGAGUCAUUUUGAAUAAAAAUAUGAAGCAAAUGGUAGAUGGAUGGAGAUGGUCGGAGUCAUAGAGGUGGCCCCCAAGGGUCUGGAGUUUGGGAUUCGCAGACAAGGGCCUUCCUGGGUCCCUGGCAAGACGGGCUGGGCAGGCAAACGCCCGGAGGUGCGGGUCUCACCAGCCCCUCGCCCGGCGCUCCUCUGUCCCCACGUCCCGGUAGCUGAUUCUUAGUCUCUGGGACCUUUGGCCUCCUCUCCCUUUCUCCCCUCUCUCUCUUCUUCCCUCCUUCUCCGUGUCCCCAAGUCACGUCCGGGGAAGCAUCCUACAGAUCCAGCGCAACCCUUUGGCUGCCCUCUUGGUCUGAGGGCUUCCUUUUGGGGAGGGGGGUGCCCCGGGUGUCAGCUCUCACUGCCCCGUUCUCCUCUCCUUUGUUCGUCCAAUCAAUGCACCAGUUUCCACAAGGUGCCCUGGCUGACCCCACCCGGCCAAUGAAAUGAGCCUCGCCGACGGGCCUGGCGGGAACCGGUGCGUCUGAGGGCUCCCUGGGUGACUCCGGUGAGCGUCGCGGCGGGAACCUGGCCUGCAGCCUCCUCCCUCAAACUCAUUCGUCCCUCUCCCCGUCAACUUGGCCGCCCCCCCGACCCUGCCCAGUGGCGCAGACCUGUCGUUCUCCAGCCGGAUCUUCCCCGCCUGGGCCGUCUGGUUAAAAUGCAGGCUCUGGUGCCAGUCAGGGGGCCUGAGGUCCUGCAUCUCCAACCCACGUUGCUGACGCUGCCAGGAUCUCAUGCUCGGAUCGGUCGGGGUGUAGACGAACUUUCUGUCUGGACAGACGUUUCUGUUUCUUUAAAGUGGGGAGAGAAGGAAUAUGUUCCCAGAGACACCCAACUGGAGAGCUCCUGGGCAGACUUCAAUGCUCUAAGAAGGAGGACCGGAGAUGAAGUGCCCUGCCUGUCACAUGCUGUCAGGGGCUCUGUGAUACCCACACGGCACUGUCGUUACUUUGAAGCCGUUCCAGAAGAAUAACACGACGGCACGUUUCCUAUGGGAUGGUUGAAAAUGCGACCAGCUGCAUACCGGCUCCAGGACACACGCACAGACACAGAAGAGGCCCCAGUGUCUGGAUGGCGCGACCCCACGGCAUCUCGGGGUUUCGGGUGUGGACUGACUCUGCUCCCAUUUCAAGCACAAGGCCGUUGUCCAGUGGGCUGGGGUGGGAGUGGGUCAGGGGGGGCUUCCUGUCUCCUUGGUUGCACUUUGGGGACAGACUCACCCUGGACCUCUGUGGACAGGAGGUGAGGGGCCCCUUUCAGCUCGUGGGCCCUUGUCAGACUGACCACAUCAUGUGGCCACCACUCAAGCUGAUUGAAGCCUCAUUUGUAAGCAUCUUCUUCCAUCCCAGCAUGACUCGGGGCCUCCCAGGAAAAACCAGAAACCUGGGUGGGUCCUUGAAGCCCCUCUCCCUCCUCAAGUCUAUGCGUCUGCUCUUGGAUUCUCGCCCAAAACUUCUCAAGCCCGGUUCUCCCAUGGAUGUCGCAACCCCCGGUCCACCUCCGUCUCCUUCCUGGAGGACCACAUCUGCCUCCUCACCCAUCUUCGCGUGCUCUGGGGCCUCUCACACUGUCUCCGCACCUCCCCGAUGAUCAAUCAGGCCCCGUGGCUCUUUCCUGCUGCAAAUGCUCCACGGGACUCUGGGCUGGAUACACGAGCCUGCACACAGGAUAAACCACAUCGCUCUAAACACACACGUGCACACGCACACACACACACAUAAACACACACAAGUGCAAGCCAACUGGGGAAAUCUGAAUGAAGUGAGUGGGUUGUAUCCAUGGCAAUAUCCUGGCUGAUACUGCUCUACAGUUUUGCAAACUGUCACCACUGAGGGGACCAGGUAAAGGUGCGUGGGGUCUCUGCUUUAUUUCUUACAACUGCAUGCAAGUCUACAAUUAUCUCAAAAUAAAAAAAUUAAUUUAAAAUAAGUGCUCCAAAGGCUUCUGCUUGUGCACAGAAUCAAAUCCACACUCCUACUGCAGCCCCCAAGCCCCUCCACGCUCUGGCCCGGCCCACCCCAGCACUCACCUGUGAUCCCCACCCACUCACCCUGGCCUGCUUACCUCCUAACCCUGUGUCCUCCCACCUGAGGGCCUUUGCACGUGCUCUUCCUCUGCUGGGAUGGCUCCCCUCCUCCCCAGGUCCACUUCCCCCAAGUCCUACUUAUCCUUAAAGUUCCAUUUCAAGUGCCAUUUCCUCUGAGAAGCAUGUCCUGCCCAGUGAGAUCCGCCAGGUCUGCCUGUGCAAGCUCCUGCAGCCCCCUGUGCCUGUCCUUCGAAGCUCCUAUGCUGUGAUUAUGUGGUCAUUUGAGGGAUUAUCAGAUUAAUGUCCACCUUCCUCUCGAUGGGGAGCUGAUGAGGGCCCAGCACUAAAAAAGCAGCAGACCCUAAGCAGGUGCUCAAUAAAUAUCUGUUGGAUGAAUGAACAAAUGAGCUAAUGAAUGAAAAUCGCC
ensembl:lncRNA